GACGAACGCUGGCGGCGCGCUUAACACAUGCAAGUCGAGCGAAGCGGCGGACGGGUGAGUAACACGUGAUUAACCUGCCUUAGACAUUGGGAUAGCCUCGGGAAACCGGGAUUAAUACCAAAUGGUCUAAGAUGGACUCGCGUCCCAUUAGCUAGUUGGUAGGUAACGGCCCACCAAGGCGACGAUGGGUAGCCGGCCUGUGAGGGUGAGCGGCGACAUUGGAAGUGGGAAACGGUCCAAACUCUACGGGAGGCGGCAGUGGCGGAUAGUGCACAAUGGAGGGAACUAUGAUGCAGCGACGCCGCGUGAACGAAGAAAGCAUUCGAGUAGUAAAGUGCUUUUAUAUGGGAAGCGGUACCAUAAGAAAAAGCCCCGGCUAACUACGUGCCAGCAGCCGCGGUAAUAC
rnacentral:rRNA from 1 species